UAUCAUCCCAGCCGUCAAAAGCAUCACCAAACAUAGAUAGAGUAACCAUCUCUCUUUUUUUCAGUCCUCUCUGACUCGCGGAACUGUAAAUCAAUGGAUUUCUAGAGAGAGAAACUAGAGAGAGAAAGUGGUUGGUUCCGUUGUUAGCAGAGACUCUGCUGCUUGCUUUGACUGUCAAGAGGGACCUUGGUUCCACACAAAUGUGCCGCAAGCAAGAUUGUUGUACCGAUUAUAAGCACAAAUCAAAUGCCAUCCCUAAAUAUGAAGAGCAAAGUAAGUGCGAGCUGUUUGGCAGAGAGAAAUGAUCUUCAAAUCUGUCCAAAAUCGAAAGUAAUUUCCAAAAACUCAUGUUCUAAAAUUGUGAUUUCUGCUCAAGAGGUAGAGAUCGACACAACUAUUCAAAAUUGUAUAAAUGUUUCUUCAAGGAUGCUGCCCAAAGACGUUGCAACUGAUCAAUCUAAUGAUGGCAAAGAACAUUUGCAUUAUGAAAACUCUGACUCCCAACACCAAUUUUCUGAACUAACCAAUCCCUGUACAGAGAACUUAGAAACAAUUUUUUCUCCUGCUUUUGAGCCCAUCGAAGUCCAUUCACAACAUUACACUGAAAAAGGUACAGGGAGCUUUGGUGAUACUAACAUGGAAGGAGUUGGAGCUGAUGAGGGAAGAAACAUAUGUGGCUUUGAAACAUGUGAUGUAUCCGACUUCUACAUUUCUGACAUGAUCAUUACAAGCUUACCCUUUUGUGGAAAUUCAUUGGAUGAUGAUGUCAGUGAAACCAACCACCUAUCUGAUUUUGGAUCCACCGAGCCAUCUGUGGUUUGUGCUUCUGAACAGUACACGACCCUGCCUGCUCGUGAAGAUGAUGCUAAAGUUGGCUGUACUCCAGAUACCAUGUCAUGUGGAGAAGGUAUUGUGGUUCGUGAAAGUGCUAGCUUGUAUUCUGCUAUAGCUCAGAUAAGAUCCUGCAACCAGGAGUCCGAUGUCAAAGAUGACUUGGAUAAGGAAGAGUGCUUUGAUCCACAGUCAUUUAUCAAGAGUUUACCAGAACUAUCAGAAGUAGAAUUAAAUGACCAGCCCACGCUAUUUCCAAAGCAAUCUCCAAGAAGAAAAUCAGUAACCCUUGUGCUUGAUUUAGAUGAGACCCUUGUUCAUUCUACGCUGGAACAUUGUGAUAAUGCAGAUUUCACUUUUAACAUUUUCUUCAAUAUGAAAGAUUACACAGUAUACGUAAAACAGAGGCCUUUCCUCCACACAUUCUUGGAGAGAGUAUCAGAGAUGUUUGAAGUAGUUAUUUUUACGGCCAGCCAAAGCAUAUAUGCAAAGCAACUACUUGAUGUAUUGGAUCCAGAUGAAAAAUUUAUUUCUCGCCGAGUGUAUCGAGAAUCAUGCCUGUUUUCAGAUGGAAAUUACACAAAAGAUCUUACCAUAUUGGGUGUUGAUCUUUCAAAAGUUGUCAUAAUUGAUAAUUCACCUCAGGUUUUCCGGUUGCAAGUGAAUAAUGGUAUUCCCAUAAAGAGUUGGUUUGAUGAUCCAUUAGAUUGUGCGCUAAUGUCAUUACUUCCCUUUCUAGAGACAUUGGCUGAAGCUGAUGAUGUGCGUCCUAUCAUUGCAAAGAGAUACGGUAACAAAGAAUAAGGUUUCUCCUUAGAACAAAUUUAGCAUCUUUUCUACUUUCUCUAGGUUUAGGAAAUUUAGCCUCUAAAUAGUUGCUAAAUGCUCCUUUCCAUUUGAGUUGAGAUGCAUUAACCUAUACAAUAAAUUAUUGGUUGUGUUAUUGUUGAGUCCACAGUUGCUUCUCUUUUCUUCUCUCAGUUGACAGAUCUGGAGUUCUCUGUUUCUCUUGAAAGUAGAUUGGCCAUCUAUCAUGUCUGAGUUGGAAGUCUUCCUCAAUAGUUUCUAUUGAGAUAUCAAUAUCUGAGAGGUCUGUGAAGAAUUUUUUUUAGAAUUAGGUUAUCCCUCUAUUCUCUGUACGAUAGGUAUGUAAAUUUUGAUAAAUUAGUCUAGGAGUUUUACAGGUACUUGUUAAUUGUCCUGCCAUAAUAUUUUUUACACAUGUUCCAUCUUCAAAACCAUAAGAAAGUUGGUGCAAAAAUUGUAAAUGCCUACCUGAAGUGUUCAAUCAUUCUUAUUUCUCUUUUUCCUAA